rnacentral:lncRNA from 1 species
UCUUGACCGCUGCCAGGAUGAUGAAUCAACGUCAACCCUUGUGCUCAACAAAGUCUUUCCAAAAUUGGACGAUCAGUAGACUGCAGUUACUUGCCAUAAUCCCUAAUUUUUGCAUAAGUUGCCCCAAGGUGGGGUACUCAACUUAUCGGGAAUUUUUUUCUGUUUUUUUAUGUUUCUAAUUUUUGCCUGGAUCUCCCUUUC